AAGUCGUAACAAGGUUUCCGUAGGUGAACCUGCGGAAGGAUCAUUACCAAAUACUGCUUGCCUGGAUGGAUUCGUCCGUUCUGCAAACGACACCCCCCCUGCGUACCUGUACCUGUUGCUUCCGUCAGCCAGUGGAUGCCUUUCGGGGCGUCCCCUCCGGUGACUGGCCAGUUCAUGGCCGGCUGGGGAGUUGCUGGCGGCGAGCCCAAAAACAAAACACAUGUCAUAUCUCUGCCUAGUCUGAGCUUUGAUGCUACAAAACAAAAACAAGUUAAAACUUUCAACAACGGAUCUCUUGGUUCUC
rnacentral:misc_RNA from 1 species